rnacentral:lncRNA from 1 species
UUUCAUUCCAGAUUUUUCCUUCCAGAUUUCGAUUAUAGCACUGAGUCAAUCCAAUGAUUACUAAGAAUAGAAUGAGCCAUAUCUUGUUCUGCUCCACCACUAAGCCCACCAUAUCUGAUCGCAUUCGACCUUCAUCUCUACCAAGUCUGAUCACAUGACACUGCCAUCUCCACCAUAUUCAAUCGAUUACCACUAUCUCCAAGACCCAAGCUAAAAACGUUCACUUGACCUUUGCUUAAACAAGACUACCACUAGUAUCAUGACCAGAUCUGCAUCGCCAGUACUUCUAUUUUGUAAGUACAGUUUGAAAACUACAUAUCUUGUAAGAAAGCUUGUUUUUGAGUAAGAGGAAAUUACACCCUCUCCCCAUUUUUUAACUUCUCAUUUCAAUAAUCAAGUACAAAGAUUUUUCUUUCAAAAUAUAGGUGCAUCCCACCCCAUCUCCAUCACCACCCCACACCAAAUAUUUGACACGAAAUAUAAAGGAUAUUCUCUCUCUCUCUCCGUGGUCUCUCUCUAUCUACCGCUCCAUCUGGUUAACAUCCACCAACUCUGACACCGUUUACGAAAAUCAGACAUCACCUUUCACUCUUACACCAAGUGAUGAAUCUGUGAACAAAAUCUGUACUCACUAUCUUACUUUGAUCGUAUAUGGAAGGAAAAAAAAAAAA